rnacentral:rRNA from 1 species
GUUCGAUUAUGGCUCAGAUUAGACGCUGGCGGGAUGCUUUACACAUGCAAGUCGAACGGCAGCACAGACGCCGGUCUGGUGGCGAGUGGCGAACGGGUGAGUAAUGUAUCGGAACGUGCCUAGUAGCGGGGGAUAACUACGCGAAAGCGUAGCUAAUACCACUAUUACGCCCUUCAGGAAAGCAGGGGACCUUCGGGCCUCGCACUAUUAGAGCAGCCGAUAUCGGAUUAGCUAGUUGGUGGGAGUAACGGCUCACCAAGGCGACGAUCCGUAGCUGGUUUGAGAGGACGACCAGCCACACUGGGACUGAGACACGGCCCAGACUCCUACGGGAGGCAGCAGUGGGGAAUUUUGGACAAUGGGGAAACCCUGAUCCAGCCAUCCCGCGUGUGCGAUGAGGCCUUCGGGUUGUAAAGCACUUUUGGCAGGAAAAGCAGCCUGGGAUAAUACCCGUGCAACUGACGGCUGCAGAAUAAGCACCGGCUAACUACGUGCCAGCAGCCGCGGUAAUACGUAGGGUGCAGCGUUAAUCGAUUGCGGAGCCAGCGUGCGCAGGCGGUUCCGGAAAGAAGAUGUGAAAUCCCAGAGCUUAACUUUGGAACUGCAUUUUUAACUACCGAGCUAGAGUGUGUCAGAGGGAGGUGGAAUUCCGCGUGUAGCAGUGAAAUGCGUAGAUAUGCGGAGGAACACCGAUGGCGAGGCGGCCUCCUGGGAUAACACUGACGCUCAUGCACGAAAGCGUGGGAGCAAACAGGAUUAGGCCACCUGGUAGUCCACGCCCUAAACGAUGUCAACUAGCUGUUGGGGCCUUCGGGCCUUGGUAGCGCAGCUAACGCGUGAAGUUGACCGCCUGGGGGAAGUACGGUCGCAAGAUUAAAACUCAAAAGGAAUUGACGGGGACCCACACAAGCGGUGGAUGAUGUGGAUUAAUUCGGUACAACGCGAAAAACCUUACCCUACCCUUGACAUGUCUGGAAUCCCCGAAAAUUUGGGAGUGCUCGCAAGAGAACCGGAACACAGGUGCUGCAUGGCUGUCGUCAGCUCGUGUCGUGAGAUGUUGGGUUAAGUCCCGCAACGAGCGCAACCCUUGUCAUUAGUUGCCACGAAGGGGCGCUCUAAUGAGACUGCCGGUGACAAACCGGAGGAAGGUGGGGAUGACGUCAAGUCCUCAUGGCCCUUAUGGGUAGGGCUUCACACGUCAUACAAUGGUCGGGACAGAGGGUCGCCAACCCGCGAGGGGGAAUAAUCGAAACCCGAUCGUAGUCCGGAUCGCAGUCUGCAGCUCGACUGCGUGAAGUCGGAAUCGCUAGUAAUCGCGGAUCAGCAUGUCGCGGUGAAUACGUUCCCGGGUCUUGUACACACCGCCUGCGUCACACCAUGGGAGUGGGUUUUACCAGAGAGUAGUUAGCCUAACCGUAAGGAGGGCGAUUACCACGGUAGGAUUCAUGACUGGGGUGAAGUCGUAACAAGGUAA